UCAUAUGCUUGUCUCAAAGAUUAAGCCAUGCAUGUCUAAGUGCAUGCCGAAUUAAGGUGAAACCGCGAAUGGCUCAUUAWAUCAGUUAUGGUUUCUUAGAUGGUACCAUCCUACUUGGAUAACUGUGGUAAUUCUAGAGCUAAUACAUGCCGAAUAAUGCUCCGACCCACGCUAAAACGUGGGCACGAGCGCUUUUAUUAGAACAAGACCAAUACGGAACUCCGGUAAAACGGAUUCCGUCCAAACAUUGGUGACUCUGGAUAACUUGUGGCUGAUCGCACGGUCUCGCACCGGCGACGCAUCUUUCAAAUGUCUGCCUUAUCAACUGUCGAUGGUAGGUUACGUGCCUACCAUGGUUGUAACGGGUAACGGGGAAUCAGGGUUCGAUUCCGGAGAGGGAGCCUGAGAAACGGCUACCACAUCCAAGGAAGGCAGCAGGCACGCAAAUUACCCACUCCCAGAACGGGGAGGUAGUGACGAAAAAUAACAAUACGGGACUCUUCCGAGGCCCCGUAAUUGGAAUGAGUACACUUUAAAUCCUUUAACGAGGAUCUAUUGGAGGGCAAGUCUGGUGCCAGCAGCCGCGGUAAUUCCAGCUCCAAUAGCGUAUAUUAAAGCUGUUGCGGUUAAAAAGCUCGUAGUUGGAUCUCGGCUCUGGACCGAUGGUCCGCGACUCGUUCGCGGUCACACUGUCGGCUUUUCCGGAGCCAUCUCGGCCGGCCAUCCCUUGGUGCUCUUCAUCGAGUGUCUCGGGUGACCGGAACGUUUACUUUGAACAAAUUAGAGUGCUUAAAGCAGGCAUGUUAACCAGCCUGAAUAGCCCAGCAUGGAAUAAUGGAAUAGGACCUCGGUUCUAUUUUGUUGGUUUUUGGAACCCGAGGUAAUGAUUAAUAGGGACAGACGGGGGCAUUCGUAUUGCGGCGCUAGAGGUGAAAUUCUUGGACCGUCGCAAGACAAACUACAGCGAAAGCAUUUGCCAAGAA
rnacentral:rRNA from 1 species